rnacentral:rRNA from 1 species
CCUACGGGAGGCAGCAGUAAGGAAUAUUGGUCAAUGGACGGAAGUCUGAACCAGCCAUGCCGCGUGCAGGAAGACGGCCCUAUGGGUUGUAAACUGCUUUUGCAGGGGAAUAAACCUCGAUACGUGUAUCGAGCUGAAUGUACUCUGAGAAUAAGGAUCGGCUAACUCCGUGCCAGCAGCCGCGGUAAUACGGAGGAUCCAAGCGUUAUCCGGAUUUAUUGGGUUUAAAGGGUGCGUAGGUGGCCUGUUAAGUCAGGGGUGAAAGACGGUAGCUUAACUAUCGCAGUGCCCUUGAUACUGAUGGGCUUGAAUAAACUAGAGGUAGGCGGAAUGUGACAAGUAGCGGUGAAAUGCAUAGAUAUGUCACAGAACACCAAUUGCGAAGGCAGCUUACUAUGGUUUUAUUGACACUGAGGCACGAAAGCGUGGGGAUCAAACAGGAUUAGAUACCCUGGUAGUCCACGCCCUAAACGAUGAAUACUCGAUGUUGGCGAUAUACGGUCAGCGUCUAAGCGAAAGCGUUAAGUAUUCCACCUGGGGAGUACGCCCGCAAGGUGAAACUCAAAGGAAUUGACGGCGNGAGAGNGACGAGACGACGACGAGGGAGGAGG